GUGAGAAAAACAUGUCAAGAACGAACCUCCAGUUAUGAAAGCGCUUUUCCAAGUUCUGCGAUUCCUGCUGCUCUGCGCUCCGAUUAUCUCCCUUCCAGCUCCACUCCAGCAACUCGUCGUGCUUUGGCAGGUUCUUCUUGACAAUGUGCGCCCGGCAAGAUGGCGGCGGGAUGAGUUUCUGUGGCGUGAGGACGCCGAAAUGAGUGUCCUGUCUGUUUGA
rnacentral:lncRNA from 1 species